rnacentral:lncRNA from 1 species
GAAGAGAGUUGUGUUUAGCUUUCAGGAGUCCCAUAAGAAUAUUAAGAGAUUGAGGCAGAGGCAAACAAUGAGGCAAAUUAUAAAAACCCACCACUCGUAAUUUGCGGUGGCCCCAAGGAAGGGAAGAGGAAACGAGGUUAUUCCCGUUCCAUUACAGUUGGAGCUGCUGCCCAAGCAGUAGUGAACUGGAGAGAAACAAGCCCUGGGUUUCCAGUGGUGAUGUUGGUCUGAAAUAAAAGUCCUGAAACACCUAUGAAGUCUGACAUCUCUGCGUAGCCCUAGGAUUCUGGUUCCUUGCUUUCGGUUGCAGAGUGGUGUGUUUGCGUCAUUGUUGAUGUCACCUCCUAAAAAGACCUUCACUUUCUUGCUGUCACAUAGCCGUAUUUGUUGCUCCCCAUGUAUAGCCUGACAGAAUAAAUGGAGAGGGAGGUGCUGAAUUUGUGUAUCACUGGCUGUCAGCUCCUCGUGUUGUUAAGCCUCACACAGGUGUGCUAGCAUUGAACGGUAGAGUGUCACACACCUGAGUUUGAAAAUAAAAGCAUAUUCUCCCCCAAAAAUGGGAGUGACACAGCAAGAAGUCCCUCUCGAGAUGCUGGCCCCUCAACCUUGGAUUUCCCAGACUACAGAAUCAUGAGCCAAUAAAUUUCUGUUCACUAUCAGUUCCCCAGUCUGUGGCAUUCCAUUACAGCAGCACAACUUGGCUGAGGAUAAGAGCUUUCAGUAGAGUGAGAACACACAGUUUCUUUAAACUUAGAACAGAAAAACUUG